rnacentral:lncRNA from 1 species
GCCUCAGCAAGGCUGCUCCGGGCAAGGGAGGGAUGCCCUGCAAGUGAUACCAACAGCAGGGAUAGGGACAGGCUCAGCUUGAAAAAGGGGAAAGCAAAGCUGGCAAGGGGCCAGGCUGCAGAAAACAUGGGAAAAUCAAAGCCCACAGAACAGAAAAGGACAAAGAGAAGAAAUGGAAGGAUAAUUGCGGAUGGGGAGAUGAUGCCAACACAGAGGUGCAGUUUAUAGAUGCAUCAUGGUAUCCAGCCCCCGAAGGAUACUUUUAAAAGUGUAAGAAAUCAUUGCCUGCAUUUCCACUGAGACAGUUCUGCUGUCAGCAGACUCCAGUUCUUCUGGUCUCCUCCUCCCCUCCUUUUUCACAGAUUAGCUUCUCACUGAAAUGGAAAAUUGUCUUCAGACGAUGUUGGCAGAGGAAUCCUUAUAAGGAGUUUCAGCAAGUUGUGGCCUCAUUUAAGAGCACAGAUGGAAAGGGGGCACUGGAGGGCCAGCAUCCCUCCCUGGGGAGAAGGAGAGAGGAUGACACGUGUCAGCUCGCUGAGGUAAAGCAGGAACCCGUAUUUGUUUCAAACACCUUCUUUAAACAAUCAAGAAGAUCCUGUGUGGGGACUCCCUCAAGGAAGCCAAAUCCUGAGGACUUUGCGCUCUACCUCCAUCUGGGCAAAGCUGCUCCCUGCCUUUCCUUAUGAGGUUUUCCACAGCAGAGGGCAGGCAGAAGCCAUGGAGGAGCUCUGGGGACAGGGCUCUCUCCCUACUCCAGCAGCCUGCAGGCACCCUUGAGAUAUGUCCGAGAAGGAGAAGUCCGCUGGAUUUGACUGGGAGCCACCAGCCUGAUUCCAGCCAUAAUUCCAGCCAC